rfam:Dipodomys ordii contig_18871, whole genome shotgun sequence.
GGGAAUGUGGCUUAGUGGUAGAGCACUUGCCUAGCAUGCAUGAAGCCCUGAGUUCAAUUCCCUAGUACCA